ensembl:rRNA 5S_rRNA 5S ribosomal RNA
GUCUACAGCCAUGCCAUCCUGAACAAGCCUGACAUCUGACUCAGAAGAUAAGCAGGGUCGGGCCUGGUUAGUAGUUGGGUGGGAGACCUAGGAAGACCUAGGAAGACCAGGUGCUGUAGGCA